rnacentral:rRNA from 1 species
CUACCAUGGCUUUUACGGGUAACGGAGAAUUAGGGUUCGAUUCCGGAGAGGGAGCCUGAGAAACGGCUACCACAUCUAAGGAAGGCAGCAGGCGCGUAAAUUACCCAAUCCUGAUUCAGGGAGGUAGUGACAAGAAAUAACGGACCGAGGCCCUCGGGCUCUCGGGAUUGCAAUGAGCCGAAUUUACACCCCUUAGCGAGGAUCCAUUGGAGGGCAAGUCUGGUGCCAGCAGCCGCGGUAAUUCCAGCUCCAAUAGCGUAUAUUAAAGUUGUUGCAGUUAAAAAGCUCGUAGUUGGAUUUCUGGGAGGGUGCCAAUGUCCGCUGACGUGCGUGUGCAGCGGCGCCCUCUCAUCCUUCUGUUAACGCCUCUUGGCAUUCAUUUGCUGGUGGCGGGCUCAGAUAUUUUACCUUGAGAAAAUUAGAGUGUUUCAGGCAGGCUAGGCCGGAAUACAUUAGCAUGGAAUAAUGGAAUAGGACUACGGUCUCUUUGUUGGUUUGAGGGACUGCAGUAAUGAUUAAUAGGGAUAGUUGGGGGCAUUAGUAUUUAAUUGUCAGAGGUGGAAUUCUCGGAUUUGUUAAAGACUAACUUAUGCGAAAGCAUUUGCCAAGGAUGUUUUCAUUAAUCAA